rnacentral:piRNA from 1 species
UGAGUUGUGGCUUCUUUCUUUAAAUACCC